AGAGUUUGAUCCUGGCUCAGGAUGAACGCUAGCGACAGGCCUAACACAUGCAAGUCGAGGGGCAUCAGGUAUCAGCUUGCUGAUACGCUGGCGACCGGCGCACGGGUGAGUAACGCGUAUGCAAUCUGCCUGUAACAGGGGGAUAACCCGGAGAAAUCCGGCCUAAUACCCCAUAAGGAUGUCUGUCCGCAUGGGCGGUCAUCUAAAGGUUUUCCGGUUACAGAUGGGCAUGCGUUCCAUUAG
rnacentral:rRNA from 1 species